AUCUUCUAAAAAGGAUACCAAAGUAAUAUCGGCUCUGUAUUUUUCUAUCCCACUGAUGGGCUUCUUCCAUUUUUGAGACAGUUUAGGCCUUUGCCCACCGUGCAGGCCUAAUGCAGGUCACAGACCUGGUGCAUAUCAUUCAAAUAAAUCAAAAAACAAAUUGACAUUUAUGAAACAAGGAUAUCGAUAAAAAGUAUGAAUUUAAACAUAAAAAUGAAUUUUAUGCGCGCCAAUAAAUGUCCAUGUGAUAUCGGAAUUCGCGCCACAGUUUUAAUGUCGUAAAAAUAAAUGAGUUGCCGCCAUUUUUACGUCGUAUUGCGAUGUUGGUAACAUUACUUCGACAACUUUUUUAUGUUCUUGUGUUCUUAUAGUGCAAAACAUACGACUUAAAUAAUAACAUCCUUCGUAAUAAUUAGAAAAAAAACAGUGACAUAAAAAUGCGGGUAAUUCAUCAAUCUUUACUUUUAUCGAUUGUGUGAAAAAAGAGGAUAAUUUUUCAGUUUUCUACGCGUGUAAUAGGUACCUGCGUAAAUUUAUUACUUUGGCUUCCUCUGCAGUGUUAAAUUAGUCGCACAGACUUUAAUUUGAUUUUAAUUACCUCUGUGGUUAUAAUAAAUUAAAAGUCGUUGUAUUAUUCGUGUAUUUGUCGAAAUGACGUUUGGUUUCAAUCUACUAUAAAUUAAUAUGAACUCAAAUUAACAUAUUAUUGUAUUGUUGAAAUGAAAAUACAAUUCUCAAAUAUACAAUAACAUAUAAGUAAAGUGCUUUAUUAUCAUCCCGACUAAGAUUUUAGAUAAAUAAAAUAAAUUUUAGAUAGUCGAUACUAAUAUUAUAUAUUUAAUAUAACAAGUAAAUACUGGGUCGCAAGUUAAUCAUUCCACUAUUUGCAAAUAUAAACAAAUAAGUAAACUCAAUUGCGCCAAUGCAUUUAACUCAUUCAACUUAAAAGAAAAAAACCCCGAACAUCUAAAUACAUGCAAAGAACGAAUGGGACACAUUUGUCUCGCUGCAUGCGACGCAUAAAAAAACAAAACCCUUUUUGAGUCGAACGCGACGCCUCUCUCGCUCUAACACAAUAUACUAGGAAGAGACAGCACAUUCCAUAGCUGUCUCGAUCAUAAAGAAUUUAAAAAUGAUAUUACGGAGAUAUUUCGGAUGUUUACUUUUAUAUUUUUUUUCCAUAGAUUUUUUGUCCUUUGUCAUUUAUGUGCGGGCAAUGGAGUUUUGUUCGUACAGCCACUGAUCCCGGUUAGGUUAUGGAUUUGGGAAAAUAUGUAUCCCGUGUUUUAAUAUCAAUUAUUAUUAUUACUCCUCAAUUUCGUGAACCGUAUGAUACCUGCCCAUCUUAUUUUGUCUUCUUCGCCAUUACGCGGGAUUACCGUUCCUGAUCAUACAAAUUUAUUUCGAUUAAAUAUAUCUGGAUCUUGAAGUGCAUUUUUUAUAGAUGAUUGAGGAAAGCGAUGUGCUUAACCCGACAGGAGGAAAAGAAGACUGUUGUCAAUAAAGAUCCAAAAUAUUAUAAUGUAUUGCUGAGUUGAACGUCUAACAAGUUGAUAUUCCGGAUUUGCGUCAAGUAUGAAGUUAAAGAUUGACUUCUACACUUUUGAAAGAUAAUACAGACUCGCUGCCUACCUUUACAAAACACAGGCGUGAGUUUACGUCAAACAUGUUUGAAGAAGCGUAACAUAAAACAAUUGGCUCAAGCUGUGAACCAUGAGGCCGAGCUUCGGUCCCAGGGCCAUUCAGCUAUUUGGAUUCGACAUUGACUGAGUUGGUAUUGUUAGUCAGCGCCUAAUUUGUACUUUUCGUUCAAUUUGGUACAUAAACUAUGAACCCCCAAAAGCUUUGCGUUCACAAUAUGGUUAAGCACUGUAAUGAACUAUAUGCAUAGAAAAAAACAAGUGGCUGACCCCGAAUAGUUAGAUAUCAGGUGGUUCUGUUUAUUUGUUUAAAAAAGCCGGUACAAUUUAACGACUAUAAAGUGCAAUUUACUUCGUUGGUUUUAAAUUUGAACUUAACUGUCCUUACCAUACGAUUCAGACUAUAGUGUAAUAAAGUACAAGGAUAAAAAAUAAAUUAAGUUUAAUAUACUCAUAUCAUGCAAAAUUUUAUUGGCCAAAUUAUGUUCAGCGUAACGUUAAUGGCACAGCAUUUCACCCCUUUACAGCUGCGUUGUGAUGAUCUUCCAAUAGAAUUUAAAUUAAUCAAAUAAGUUUAUUAUUUUUGUUUUAUUGUUUAUCUCACGUGUUAUUUUUAUGUCAUAAGUUUACAGUGGUUUUGUUCCUGCUAUGUAAGUUUUAUUAUUAAAGUAACGAUUGUGUUUGCCUACGACGCAAGCAUAGUAUGAGAUCACGCAACUGAAGAGUUUAAUUUGUAAUUUCUGAAUAAAUGGACUAAAUAAAUACAGUAACUCAACUAAACUUUCACAGUACAUUAACCAACUAGAUUAGAAUCCCUAGUUUUCAGUCCAAUUUUUAAAAUGUAUUAAGGCGGAUUCUUGGAUCUGAUAACCACCGCAGAGCUGUGAAUUAAUUUUUUUAUUGUUCUGGUAUUGCAAAGAUGCUUACUUAUGACAAAGAUCUUCAUAAACACCCACAUACCAGAAAAAUCAACCAAAAUACCACAAUCGGUCAAUAUUAAAAAAAACAGCACUGGACAGAUGGAUUGAUCGAAUACCUUUUAAAGAAGGUAGACAUUUGUCCUGCAAUGUGUCAUAACAGAAUCAUAAAAAGCGAUAAAAUCAGAACAGUGUGACCGAGUCUUAAGCAAUGAAUGCAAAAAGUAAGGCCAACGUAAUGUGUUAGAGAUGAAUUUUAUUAAUUUUAAUUACAUUGAUGUUGUAUUAAAAGAUGUGUCGCGUUUUUAUUAUUGUAAUAAAAAUGCUAUGGGCCCUACAUCAUGCCCCACUGCUGGGCGUGGGGCUAUUCAUCUGAUGAAAGGCGUAAAGGACUGGUCGCCUAAAGGCAAGGGGCUAAAUAGCGAGCGAGUCUUUUGACGAGGUCGCCACCUGUCAAAAGACUGUUCUACUGAGGAAUUAUUUAUCAUCAUCAGCCAUAAGAAGUCCACUACUCAACAACCUCCCCUAAAGAUUUCCAGACUGAUCUGUUAAAAGUGGCCUACAUCCAGCGAGUUCCUGCGACCUUCUCAGGAUUCAUUCCCAGCUGAUAAUGUUGGAAAAGUGUCAACAUUUUUCAAUGCAAAAACUGCUAUUGCUAGUUCCUAAAGUGGGAAAGCGGAUAGAGAUGAGGAUGAUCUCAUAACGAUUAUAUCGAUUUAUAAUGUUUUCUGCAGAUAAUCGAUUUAACGGCGGGCUUUUUUACAUUCAUUACAAUUUAUUGUCUACUUAGACGAUGGAAG